rnacentral:lncRNA from 1 species
ACACCAACCACUCUAUUUCAGAACGAACUUCGUACGAACCUGAACUGUCAAAUUUCGUGGACCGAUCGAUUUCGGAUUGAGUCCAAAACUUGGGGAACAUCAUAAUAUUGUGGGAGGAGUCGUUUGGUGGGUUUUGAGUGAAAUACAAUCCCUUGAACUAUACAAUAAACCAACCAUUCCAUUUCAGAACGAACUUCGUACGUACUGGAAUUGUCAAAUUUCGUGGACCGAUCGAUAGCGGAUUGAGUCCAAAACUUGGGGAACAACAUAAUAUUGUGGGAGGAGUCAUUUGGUGGGUUUGGAGUGAAAUCCAAUCUCUAGAACUAUACAAUACACCAACCACUCCAUUUCAGAACGAACUUCGUCCGAACCUGAAUUGUCAAAUUUCGAGGACUGAUCGAUAUCGGAUAGAGUCCAAAACUUGGGGAACAACAGAAUAUUGUGAGAGGAGGCAUUUGGUGGGUUUUGAGUGAAAUACAAUCCCUAAAACUAUACAAUACACCAACCACCCCAUUUCAGAACGAAUUUCGUACGAACCUGAAUUGUCCGAUUUCAAGGACCAAUCUAUAUCGGAUUGAGUCCAAAGGAAUAUCAUAAUAUUAUGGGAGGAGUCAUUUGGUGGGUUUUGAGUGAAAUACAAUCCCUAGAACUAUACAAUACACCAACCACUCCAUUUCAGAAAGAACUUGGUACGAACCUGAAUUGUUCAAUUUCGUGGACCGAUCGAUAUCGGAUUGAGUCCAAAACUUGGGGAACAUCAUAAUAUUGUGGGAGGAUUCGUUUGGUGGAUUUUGAGUGAAAUUCAAUCUCUAGAACUCUACAAUACACCAACCACCCCAUUGCAGAACGAACUUCGUACGAACCUGAAUUUGUCCGAUUUCAAGGACCAAUCGAUAUCGGAUUCAGUCCAAAACUUGGGGAACAUCAGAAUAUUGUGGGAGGAGUCAUUUAGUGGGUUUUGAGUGAAUUCGAAUCCCUGGAACUAUACAAUAUACCAACCACUCCAUUUCAGAACGAACUUCGUACGAACCUGAACUGUCAAAUUUCGUGGACCGAUCGAUAUCGGAUUGAGUCCAAAAGUUGGGGAACAUCAUAAUAUUGUGGGAGAAGUCAUUUGGUGGGUUUUGAGUGAAAUCCAAUCUCUAAAACUAUACAAUACACCAACCACCCCAUUUGAGAACGAACUUUCUACGAACUUGAAUUGUCCGAUUUCAAGGACCAAUCGAUAUCGGAUUAAGUCCUAAACUUGGGGAACAUCAAAAUAUUGUAGGAGGAGUUAUUUGGUGGGUCUUGAGUGAAAUACAAUCCCUAGAACUAUACAAUACACCACCCACUCCAUUUCAGAACGAACUUCGUACGAACCUGAAUUGUCCAAUUUCGUGGACCGAUCGAUAUCGGAUUGAGUCCAAAACUUGGGGAACAUCAUAAUAUUGUGGGAGGAGUCGUUUGGUGGAUUUUGAGUGAAAUUCAAUCUCUAGAACUCUACAAUACACCAACCACCCCAUUUCAGAACGAACUUCGUACGAACCUGAAUUUGUCCGAUUUCAAGGACCAAUCGAUAUCAGAUUGAGUCCAAAACUUGGGGAACAUCAGAAUAUUGUGGGAGGAGUCAUUUGGUGGGUUUUGAGUGAAAUACAAUCCCUAGAACUAUACAAUACACCAACCACUCCAUUUCAGAACGAACUUCGUACGAACCUGAAUUGUCAAAUUUCGUGGACCGAUUGAUAUCGAAUUGAGUCCAAAACUUGGGAAACAUCAUAAUAUUGUGGGAGGAGUCAUUUGGCACGUUUUGAGUGAAAUACAAUCCCUAGAACUAUACAAUACACCAACCAAUCCAUUUCAGAACGAACUUCGUACGAACCUGAAUUGUCAAAUUUCGUGGACCGAUCGAUAACGGAUUGAGUCCAAAACUUGGGGAACAUCAUAAUAUUGUGGGAGGAGUCAUUUGGUGGGUUUUGAGUGAAAUCCAAUCUCUAGAACUAUACAAUACACCGACCACCCCAUUGCAUCACGAACUUCGUACGAACCUGAAUUGUCCGAUUUCAAGGACCAAUCCAUAUCGGAUUGAAUCCAAAACUUGGGGAAGAUCAUAAUAUUGUGGGAGGUGUCAUUUGAUGGGUUUUGAGUGAAAUCCAAUCUCUAGAACUAUACAACACACCAACCUCCCCAUUUCCGAACGAACUUCGUACGAACUUGAAUUGUCCGAUUUCAAGGACGCAAUCGAUAUCGGAUUGAGUCCAAAACUUGGGGAACAUCAUAAUCUNNNNNNNNNNNNNNNNNNNNNNNNNNNNNNNNNNNNNNNNNNNNNNNNNNNNNNNNNNNNNNNNNNNNNNNNNNNNNNNNNNNNNNNNNNNNNNNNNNNNCGUUUUGAGUGAAAUCCAAUCUCUAGAACUAUACAAUACACCAACCACCCCAUUUCAGAACGAACUUCGUGCGAACCUGAAUUGUCCGAUUUCAAGGACCAAUCGAUAUCGGAUUGAGUCCAAAACUUGGGGAACAUCAUAAUAUGGUGGGAGGAGUCAUUUGGUGGGUUUUGAGUGAAAUACAAUCUCUAGAACUAGACAAUACACCAACUACCCCAUUUCAGAACGAACUUCGUACGAACCUGAAUUGUCCGAUUUCAAGGACCACUCGAUAUCGGAUUGAGUCCAAAACUUGGGGAACAUCAUAAUAUUGUGGGAGGAGUCAUUUGGUGGGUUUUGAGUGAAAUCCAAUCUCUAUAACUAUACAAUACACCAACAACCCCAUUUAUGAACGAACUUCGUACGAACCUGAAUUCUCCGAUUUCAAGGACCACUCGAUAUCGGAUUGAGUCCAAAACUUGGGGAACAUCAUAAUAUUGUGGGAGGAGUCAUUUGGUGGGUUUUGAGUGAAAUCCAAUCUCUAGAACGAUACAAUACAGCAACCACCCCAUUUCAGAACGAACUUCGUAUGAACCUGAAUUGUCCGAUUUCAAGGACCAAUCGACAUCGGAUUGAGUCCAACACUUGGGGAGCAUCAUAAUAUUGUGGGAGGAGUCAUUUGGUGGGUUUUGAGUGAAAUCCAAUUUCUAUAACUAUACAAUAUACCAACAACCCCAUUUAUGAACGAACAUCGUAUGAACCUGAAUUGUCCGAUUUCAAGGACCACUCGAUAUCUGAUAAGCUCAUAAUUUCACACAUUUGCAUGCCUUCUUUCCUUAGUCAUUUUGUUAGCUUCUCUUUAUUUUGAGUCUCUUACCUAUGUUUGUGUGCUUUGUAGGUUAAGACAGCAAGGGGAUGACAUUUGAUACAAAUUCAUGCAUGUUAAGGGGCUGAGUGGCACAAAGAGGAAUAUGAGCUUAAAAGACAAAACCCAAUUUGUGCCACACUCCUUGUCAGUCCAGUUUCGUAGGUCAUCUUGCAGGCCUCAUUUCAGUAACUUACACAGGUCGGAUGAGGAGACCUCCUUCAUAGAAGUUGUUCCAAUGGGUGUCCAUUAUAACAUAUCCAAAGUUCAGCCCAAUUGGAUAAAUCUGGAGCCCUCAACACGUCAAAGACUGAACCAAGUUCACAGAAAUGUCAUGUUGGCUGCCAUCACAUUUAAUGUGGCUACAUCCCUAGAGCCAUGUGCUACACAUGGGCAGCCAUACAUGGGAGUCAAAUCAGCUCAGAAGCUCAGAAAGAUGAACAAAAGUCAAGCUUUCCAUAAAGAAACCAUACCAAAGCAUGUAUUUGUCAGCUGGAGCAGUUGGCAAGUAUGGGCAGCUGGAGCAGUUGGGAGCAGCUAAGAGAGGUGUGCUUCACCAGCCCAAGGGAAGCACGAAAUUUCACUCUAUAAAUUGAGAGUUGCACACUCAUUCAAGGGAGAGAGAGCAGACACACACAUUCACUUCAUCCAUUACUCUCAUACACACAUUCAGAUUCACCACAAAGAGAGAAGAGAGCUUGGAGCUGUCCUGGGAACUUCCUUGCUGCCAUCAUCUAGUUCUUCUCCUCUCUUUAUCCUAUCUAUGUAUUUCUUAUUUUCUGUAUUCAUAGUUAUGUCUAAUUAAUCCAUUUAGUUAGGGCUUAGGAUGAAGCCCUAGUCAUGAAUAUUCAAUGUUAUGGAUGAUUUUAUGGUUAAUUGAUUUCCUUGCUUUUAUUAUCAAGUUGUUAAUCUCCAGUUUAUUAUGUGCUUGAUGUAUGUUUUCUUGGAGUAGCUAACUAGGAUUUUAUGCAUCUAGCACAGGUUGGGAAGGGGUUUAGAUUCACCAAUUCUACUCUCCUUUCACAAGCAACACUUGAAUGGCCUAAGAAUCAUUCAAGGGGUUAAUAACCAUAGGUUGACUAGGACAGAUACCAUGUUCUAGGACUUGUGUGAUUAUCAUAUUCUCAAGGAGCUUAAUGACUCUUGUAUGCUUUAUUCUAAGUAGAUACCAUGCUUAGGUUGCAUAUUAGAGAUCACGUGUUGUGUAGAUACCAUGCAUAAUCACAUGCCUUAGGAGAAUCAUGCAUCCUGCACCUAGAUACCAUAGGCUUGUAUGCGAUGAUCUAUUGUUGAUGAAGCUUGAGUCAAUUUCUAUGCAUUCAUAACUUGGAUAGGAAAACUAGUGGUGGAUUCCAAGGCUCUAACACCUUUCAAUCAUUGUUUCACAACUUGUUGAUUGCUGCCAGUGUUUACUUUCGAGCACUUUCAUUUCACUUUCUUGUUUUCAUUUCAACAACAAAACCCCCCAUUUCGAGUGCGUGUGUGGUGCUAGGAUUCUGUCCUAGACCUUGAGUAAUUAGCAAGAGGCAUUGUUGAAUUCGACCUUGCCUUUAGCUAGUUAGUCAGUUUCUUUGGUUUUUGUUUUUCUAGCAUUCUAAGUAAUUUAACUUGGAACCAAGUUACCAUUCUCCGUGGGAUCAACCUCGUAUUUACAUAAGCUAUACUAUAAACGGUUCGUGCACUUGCGAGAAUUAAAGUUGCUGUUUUUAAUAACUCAUUUUAGUUGUUAAGAAUUGGCGCAACAAGUUUUUGGCGCCGUUGCCAGGGAACCGGUAAUGAUGGUGCUAUAGUUAGAUUACUUUGAUUGUUUUGUUUUUGUUUGUUUCAUUUGUUUCUUUUCGUUGGUUUUUCUUUUAGUAUUCAGUUUUUGUAUUUUGUUGUUAUCUCCAUUGAAAGCAUUGAAUUGACUUCCUUGGUGUGUGCAUGUCCGAAUCUGACCAGGAGCAAAGUUCACCUGAGCCACUUUCACCAAGAACCGCUGCUGUGCGUGCUGGUUUGAGGAGGAAUUAUAGUUCUUCAAGCAUUGAAUCUAAAAGUUACGAAUCUGAAGGUUCAAGCAACAUGGCAGAGAUUCCGAACAACAACAAUGAUGAAGGAGGUGGUGCGCUUGUUGUCCAACCAAGAAAACCCCUGCGUGAGUUUUCCAUUCCCAAAGUCACCGAUCAACCUUCGUGCAUCGUCUAUCCUCAACUCACAGUUGAUAGGUUUGAGCUUAAAAGUGGUAUGAUUCAUCUUCUUCCAACUUAUUAUGGUAAUACCACUGAGGAUCCUUACAUGCAUAUUAAGCAAUUCUUUGAAAUAUGUGCUACGAUCAAAAUUCAAAACCUUGAUGAUGAGCAGAUUAAGAUGAGGCUAUUCCCAUUCAGUUUAAAAGAUAAAGCUAAGUCUUGGUUAUACUUUUUGCCUAAUGCUUCAAUUCAUACUUGGGAAGAGCUUUCUAAUAAGUUUUUGCAGAAAUUUUUUCCGACUCAAAAGACUAACAAGAUUAGAAAGGAAAUUCUUGGUUUCACACAAAAGGAAGGAGAAGCUUUUCAUGAAUGUUGGGAGAGGUACAAGGAGAUGAUAAGUUCUUGCCCACACCACAACAUAGAGAGUUGGAUGCAAAUGCAAUCUUUCUAUGAAGGUUUGCUUGAUUCCGAAAGGAUGAUGGUAGAUGCAACAAGUGGAGAAGGACUGAUGAACAAAACAGCAGAUGAGGCUUUUACUCUCUUUGCAUCCUUGAGUGCUAACUCUCAACAAUGGAGCCAGAAUAAAGGAAGAGGAGCUCCUAUGAAAGCUGUGGUCUCUGAGGUAAGUACUAAUAAUGAGAUUGCUGCAAAACUUGAUGUUAUGUGUUCUUUGCUCCAACAGGCAGUGACUGCCCUCUAGGUAGAUACCAUGCUUAAUGUUAUGUGUUCUUUGCUCCAACAAGCUGUGUUCUUUGCUGCAAAACUUAAUGACUCUUGUAUGCUUUAUUCUAAGUAGAUACCAUGCUUAGGUUGCAUAUUAGAGAUCACGUGUUGUGUAGAUACCAUGCAUAAUCACAUGCCUUAGGAGAAUCAUGCAUCCUGCACCUAGAUACCAUUGGCUUGUAUGCGAUGAUCUAUUGUUGAUGAAGCUUGAGUCAAUUUCUAUGCAUUCAUAACUUGGAUAGGAAAACUAGUGGUGGAUUCCAAGGCUCUAACACCUUUCAAUCAUUGUUUCACAACUUGUUGAUUGCUGCCAGUGUUUACUUUCGAGCACUUUCAUUUCACUUUCUUGUUUUCAUUUCAACAACAAAACCCCCCAUUUCGAGUGCGUGUGUGGUGCUAGGAUUCUGUCCUAGACCUUGAGUAAUUAGCAAGAGGCAUUGUUGAAUUCGACCAUGCCUUUAGCUAGUUAGUCAGUUUCUUUGUUCUUUGUUUUUCUAGCAUUCUAAGUAAUUUAACUUGGAACAAAGUUACCAUUCUCCGUGGGAUCAACCUCGUAUUUACAUAAGCUAUACUAUCAACGGUUCGUGCACUUGCGAGAAUUAAAGUUGCUGUUUUUAAUAACUCAUUUUAGUUGUUAAGAAUUGGCGCAACAAUAUCGGAUUGAGUCCAAAACUUGGGGAACAUCAUAAUAUUGUGGGAGGAGUCAUUUGGUGGGUUUUGAGUGAAAUCCAAUCUCUAGAACUAACACACCAACCAACCCAUUUCAGAACGAACUUCGUGCGAACCUGAAUUGUCCGAUUUCAAGGACCAAUCGAUAUCGGAUUGAGUCCAAAACUUGGGGAACAUCAUAAUAUGGUGGGAGGAGUCAUUUAGUGGGUUUUGAGUGAAAUCCAAUCCCUAGAACUAUACAAUACACCAACCACUCCAUUUCAAAACGAACUCGUACGAACCUGAAUUGUCAAAUUUCGUGGACCGAUCGAUAUCGGAUUGAGUCCAAAACUUGGGGAACAUCAUAAUAUUGUGGGAGGAGUCAUUUGGUGGGUUUUGAGUGAAAUCCAAUCUCUAGAACUAUACAAUACACCAAGCACCUCAUUUCAGAACGAAUUUCGUACGAACCUGAAUCCUCCGAUUUCAAGGACCAAUCGAUAUCGGAUUGAAUCCAAACCUUGGGGAACAUCAUAAUAUUGUGGGAGGAGUCAUUUGGUGGGUUUUGAGUGAAAUCCAAUCUCUAGAACUAGACAAUACACCAACCACCCCAUUUCCGAACGAACUUCGUACGAACCUGAAUUGUCCGAUUUCAAGGACCACUCGAUAUCGGAUUGAGUCCAAAACUUGGGGAACAUCAUAAUACUGUGGGAGGAGUCAUUUAGUUGGUUUUGAGUGAAAUCCAAUCCCUAGAACUACGCAAUACACCAACCACUCCAUUUCAGAACGAACUUCGUACGAACCUGAAUUGUCCGAUUUCAAGGACCAAUCUAUAUCGGAUUGAGUCCAAAACUUGGGGAACAUCAUAAUAUUGUGGGACGAGUCAUUUGGUGGGUUUUGAGUGAAAUCCAAUAUCUAGAACUAUACAAUACACCAACCACCCCAUUUAUGAACGAACUUCGUACAAACCUGAAUUGUCCGAUUUCAAGGACCAAUCGACAUCGGAUUGAGUCUAAAACUUGGGGAACAUAAUAAUAUUGUGGGAGGAGUCAUUUGAUGGGUUUUGAGUGAAAUCCAAUCUCUAGAACCAUACAAUACACCAACCACCCCAUUUCAGAACGAACUUCGUACGAACCUGAAUUGUCCGAUUUCAAGGACCAAUCGAUAUCGGAUUGAGUCCAAAACUUGGGCAACAUCAUAAUAUUGUGGGAGUUGUCAUUUGAUGGGUUUUGAUUGAAAUCCAAUCCCUAGAACUAUACAAUACACCAACCACACCAUUUCAGAACGAACUUCGUACGAACCUGAAUUGUCCGAAACUUGGGGAACAUCAUAAUAUUGUGCGAGGAGUCAUUUGGUGGGUUUUGACUGAAAUCCAAUCACUAGAACUAUACAAUACACCAACCACCCCAUUUAUAAACGAACUUCGUAGGAAUCUGAAUUGUCCGAUUUCAAGGACCAAUCGAUAUCGGAUUGAGUCCAAAACUUGGGGAACAUCAUAAUAUUGUGGGAGGAGUCAUUUGGUGGGUUUUGAGUGAAAUCCAAUCUCUAUAACUAUACAAUACACCAACAACCCUAUUUAUGAACGAACUUCGUAUGAACCUGAAUUGUCCGAUUUCAAAGACCACUCGAUAUCGGAUUGAGUCCAAAACUUGGGAACAUCAUAAUAUUGUGGGAGGAGUCAUUUGGUGGGUUUUGAGUGAAAUCCAUCCUCUAGAACUAUACAAUACACCAACCACCCCAUUUCAGAACGAACUUCGUACGAACCUGAAUUGUUCGAUUUCAAGGACCAAUCGAUAUCGGAUUGCGUCCAAAACUUGGGGAACAUCAUAAUAUUGUGGGAGUCAUUUGGUGGGUUUUGAGUGAAAUUCAAUCUCUAGAACUAUACAAUACACCAACCACCCCAUUUCAGAACGAACUUCGUACGAACCUGAAUUGUCCGAUUUCAAGGACCGAUCGACAUCGGAUUGAGUCCAAAACUUGCGGAACAUCAUAAUAUUGUGGGAGGAGUCAUUUCGUGGGUUUUGAGCAAAAUCCAAUCUCUAGAACAAUACAAUACACCAACCACCCCACUUCAGAACGAACUUCAUACGGACCUGAAUUGUCCGAUUUCAAGGACCAAUCGAUAUCGGAUUGAGUCCAAAACUUGGGGAACAUCAUAAUAUUGUGGGAGGAGUUAUUUGGAGGGUUUUGAGUGAAAUCCAAUCUCUUGAACGAUACAAUACACCAACCACCCCAUUUAAUAACGAACUUCGUACGAACCUGAAUUGUCCGAUUUCAAGGACCAAUCGACAUCGGAUUGAGUCCAAAACUUGGGGAACAUCAUAACAUUGUGGGAGGAGUCAUUUGGUGGGUUUUGAGUGAAAUCCAAUCUCUAGAACUAUACAAUACACCAACCACCCCCUUUCAUAACGAAAUUUCGUACGAACCUGAAAUUGUCCGAUUUCAGGGACCAAUCGACAUCGGAUUGGAGUCCAAAACUUGGGGAACAUGAUAAUAUUGUGGGAGGAGUCCAUUUGGGUGGGUUUUGAGUGAAAUCCAAUCUCGAGAACUAUACGAACCCCAACGACUCCAUUUCAGAACGAACUUCGUACGAACCUGAAUUGUCUAAUUUUUGGGCCCGAUCGAUAACGGAUUGAGUCCAAAACGUGGGGAACAUCAUAAUAUUAUGGGAGGAGUCAUUUGGUGGGUUUUCAGUGAAAUCGAAUGCCUAGAACUAUACAAUACACCAACCACUCCAUUUCAGAACGAACUUCGUACGAACCUGAAUUGUCAAAUUUCGUGCACCGAUCGAUAUCAGAUUGAGUCCAAAACUCGGGGAACAUCAUAAUAUUGUGGGAGGAGUCAUUUGGUGGGUUUUGAGUGAAAUCCAAUCUCUAGAACUAGACAAUACACCAACCACCCCAUUUCCGUACGAACUUCGUACGAACCUGAAUUGUCCGAUUUCAAGGACCACUCGAUAUCGGAUUGAGUCCAAAACUUGGGGAACAUCAUAAUACUAUGGGAGGAGUCAUUUAGUUGGUUUUGAGUGAAAUCCAAUCCCUAGAACUACGCAAUACACCAACCACUCCAUUUCAGAACGAACUUCGUACGAACCUGAAUUGUCCGAUUUCAAGGACCACUCGAUAUCGGAUUGAGUCCAAAACUUGGGGAACAUCAUAAUACUGUGGGAGGAGUCAUUUAGUUGGUUUUGAGUGAAAUCCAAUCCCUAGAACUAUACAAUACACCAACCACUCCAUUUCAGAACGAACUUUGUACGAACCUGAAUUGUCAAAUUUCGUGGACCGAUCGAUAUCGGAUUGAGUCCAAAACUUAGGGAACAUCACAAUAUUGUAGGAGGAGUCAUUUGGCGGGUUUUGAGUGAAAUCCAAUCUCUAGAACUAUACAAUACACCAACCACCCCAUUUCAGAACGAACUUCGUACGAACCUGAAUUGUCUGAUUUCAAGGACCGAUCGAUAUCGGAUUGAGUUCCAAAACUUGGGGAACAUCAUAAUAUUGUGGGAGGAGUCAUUUGGUGGGUUUUGAGUGAAAUACAAUCCCUAGAACAAUACAAUACACCAACCAGCCCAUUUCAGAACGAACUCCGUACGAACUUGAAUUGUCAAAUUUCGUGGACCGAUCGAUAUCGGAUUGAGUCCAAAACUUGGGGAACAUCAUAAUAUUGUGGGAGGAGUCAUUUGGUGGGUUUUGAGUGAAAUCCAAUCUCUAGAACUAUACGAUACACCAACGACCCCAUUUCAGAACGAACUUCGUACGAACCUGAAUUGUCUAAUUUCGUGGACCGAUCGAUAACGGAUUGAGUCCAAAACGUGGGGAACAUCAUAAUAUUAUGGGAGGAGUCAUUUGGUGGGUUUUCAGUGAAAUCGAAUGCCUAGAACUAUACAAUACACCAACCACUCCAUUUCAGAACGAACUUCGUACGUACUUGAAUUGUCAAAUUUCGCGGACCGAUUGAUAUCGGAUUGAGUCCAAAACUUGGGGACAUCAUAAUAUUGUGGGAGGAGUCAUUUGGUGGGUUUUGAGUGAAAUCCAAUCUCUAGAACUAGAGAAUACACCAACCACCCCAUUUCAGAACGAACUUCGUACGAACCUGAAUUGUCCGAUUCCAAGGACCACUCGAUAUCGGAUUGAGUCCAAAACUUGGGAAACAUCAUAAUACUGUGGGAGGAGUCAUUUAGUUGGUUUUGAGUGAAAUCCAAUCCCUAGAACUAUGCAAUACACCAACCACUCCAUUUCAGAACGAACUUCGUACGAACCUGAAUUGUCCGAUUUCAAGGACCACUCGAUAUCGGAUUGAGUCCAAAACUUGGGGAACAUCAUAAUACUGUGGGAGGAGUCAUUUAGUUGGUUUUGAGUGAAAUCCAAUCCCUAGAACUAUACAAUACACCAACCACUCCAUUUCAGAACGAACUUUGUACGAACCUGAAUUGUCAAAUUUCGUGGACCGAUCGAUAUCGGAUUGAGUCCAAAACUUAGGGAACAUCACAAUAUUGUAGGAGGAGUCAUUUGGCGGGUUUUGAGUGAAAUCCAAUCUCUAGAACUAUACAAUACACCAACCACCCCAUUUCAGAACGAACUUCGUACGAACCUGAAUUGUCUGAUUUCAAGGACCGAUCGAUAUCGGAUUGAGUUCCAAAACUUGGGGAACAUCAUAAUAUUGUGGGAGGAGUCAUUUGGUGGGUUUUGAGUGAAAUACAAUCCCUAGAACAAUACAAUACACCAACCAGCCCAUUUCAGAACGAACUUCGUACGAACCUGAAUUGUCAAAUUUCGUGGACCGAUCGAUAUCGGAUUGAGUCCAAAACUUGGGGAACAUCAUAAUAUUGUGGGAGGAGUCAUUUGGUGGGUUUUGAGUUAAAUCCAAUCUCUAGAACUAUACGAUACACAACCACCCCAUUUCAGAACGAACUUCGUACGAACCUGAAUUGUCAAAUUUCGUGGACCGAUCGAUAUUGGAUUGAGUCCAAAACUUGGGGAACAUCAUAAUAUUGUGGGAGGAGUCAUUUGGUAUGUUUUGAGUGAAAUACAAACCCUAGAACUAUACAAUACACCAAUUACUCCAUUUCAGAACGAACUUCGUACGAACCUGAAUUUUCAAAUUUCGUGGACCGAUCGAUAUCGGAUUGAGUCCAAAACUUGGGGAACAUCAUAAUACUGUGGGAGGAGUCAUUUAGUUGGUUUUGAGUGAAAUACAAUCUCUAGAACUAUACAAUACACCAACCACCCCAUUUCAGAACGAACUUCGUACGAACCUGAAUUGUCCGGUUUCAAGGACCACUCGAUAUCGGAUUGAGUCCAAAACUUGGGGAACAUCAUAAUACUGUGGGAGGAGUCAUUUAGUUGGUUUUGAGUGAAAUCCAAUCCCUAGAACUAUACAAUACACCAACCACUCCAUUUCAGAACGAACUUCGUACGAACCUGAAUUGUCAAAUUUCGUGGACCGAUCGAUAUCGGAUUGAGUCCAAAACUUGGGGAACAUCAUAAUAUUGUGGAAGGACUCAUUUGGUGGGUUUUGAGUGAAAUCCAAUCUCUAGAACUAUACAAUACACCAACCACCGUAUUUCAGAACGAACUUCGUACGAACCUGAAUUGUC